rnacentral:lncRNA from 1 species
UAACUCCCUUGUGGCGCAUGAAACCAGUGACCCCUGGAGACCUUUCACUACGAUCCACCCCUUAAAGGUUCCACUCCCUUCUAAGCCUCAACACAGGACUAUUGUGACACAAGUACUUGUGCCAGCCCUGCUUCAGGGAAACCCAAGUGAGGCAUCCACUGAGACCUCCUCCCUUGCCUCUGGGGUGUAGUUCACAGUAGGGGGCUUAAUCAUGGGCAAAGGGUCUUAGCUUUUAAACUCAGUUAAAGCCAGCUUUUUAUUGUUUGAGUGCUAUGCCAUGUGGUUGUGCUUUGUAAGGACUCUCAGCAGUUGCCCUCACUCCCUAAUGAACAGGCCCAGUGUAAGAUCUCUACCCUUAACUGCUGUAGGGUAGGAGUUGGAAGAGGGUAACCUCUUCCAUUUGUGCCCUCUGGUCUGGAGCCAAGCCAUGUCUCAGGUGGCUGUUGCCAGUUUCUUGAAGACUUUUUUUUUCCUCUCUGGAGAGACGACAUAAGGAGAGAAGAGCCCUGAUGGAAUCUUGGGUGAUGGACAUCUAUUGGUACAAAUGGAGAAGACAGAGCAUACUGGGAUACCUUUGACAGGUAGGCGAGAAAGGGGUGUACAUGUAUGUGCAUGUCAGGCUGCUCUGAUAAACCUGAAAUGCCAUGGAUUUCUUCGAGAUUGCUAGACAGCCC